rnacentral:rRNA from 1 species
UACAGAGGGGGCCAGCGUUAUUCGGAAUUAUUGGGCGUAAAGGGCGCGUAGGCGGCCAUGCGUGUCUUCCGUGAAAUCCCUCGGCUCAACCGAGGACGUGCGGAAGAAACUGCAAGGCUCGAGUCCGGAAGAGGGGGGCGGAAUUCCCAGUGUAGCGGUGAAAUGCGUAGAUAUUGGGAGGAACACCAGUGGCGAAGGCGGUCCCAUGGGCCGGAACUGACGCUGCGGCGCGAAAGCGUGGGUAGCAAACAGG